rnacentral:rRNA from 1 species
GAUCAUGGCUCAGGACGAACGCUGGCGGCGUGCCUAAUACAUGCAAGUCGAGCGAAUCAAUGGGAGCUUGCUCCCUGAGAUUAGCGGCGGACGGGUGAGUAACACGUGGGUAACCUGCCUGUAAGACUGGGAUAACUCCGGGAAACCGGGGCUAAUACCGGAUAACAUCUAGAAUUGCAUGAUUCUAGAUUGAAAGAUGGUUUCGGCUAUCACUUGACAGAUGGACCCGCGGCGCAUUAGCUAGUUGGUGAGGUAACGGCUCACCAAGGCGACGAUGCGUAGCCGACCUGAGAGGGUGAUCGGCCACACUGGGACUGAGACACGGCCCAGACUCCUACGGGAGGCAGCAGUAGGGAAUCUUCGGCAAUGGACGAAAGUCUGACCGAGCAACGCCGCGUGAGUGAAGAAGGUUUUCGGAUCGUAAAACUCUGUUGUUAAGGAAGAACAAGUACGAGAGUAACUGCUCGUACCUUGACGGUACUUAACCAGAAAGCCACGGCUAACUACGUGCCAGCAGCCGCGGUAAUACGUAGGUGGCAAGCGUUGUCCGGAAUUAUUGGGCGUAAAGCGCGCGCAGGCGGUUCCUUAAGUCUGAUGUGAAAGCCCACGGCUCAACCGUGGAGGGUCAUUGGAAACUGGGGGAACUUUGAGUGCAGAAAGAAGAGAGUGGAAUUCCACGUGUAGCGGGUGAAAUGCGUAGAGAUGUGGAGGAACACCCAGUGGCGAAAGCCACUCUCUGGGUCAGUAAUGACGUGAGGCGCGAAAGCGUGGGGAGCGAACAGGNUUAGAUACCCUGGUAUCCACGCCGUAAACGAUGAGUGUAAGUGUUAGAGGGUUUCCGCCCUUUAGUGCUGCAGCAAACGCAUUAAGCACUCCGCCUGGGGAGUACGGUCGCAAGACUGAAACUCAAAGGAAUUGACGGGGGCCCGCACAAGCGGUGGAGCAUGUGGUUAAUUCGAAGCAACGCGAAGAACCUUACCAGGUCUUGACAUCCUCUGACAACUCUAGAGAUAGAGCUUUCCCUUCGGGGACAGAGUGACAGGUGGUGCAUGGUUGUCGUCAGCUCGUGUCGUGAGAUGUUGGGUUAAGUCCCGCAACGAGCNGCAACCCUUGAUCUUAGUUGCCAGCAUUCAGUUGGGCACUCUAAGGUGACUGCCGGUGACAAACCGGAGGAAGGUGGGGAUGACGUCAAACCAUCAUGCCCCUUAUGACCUGGGCUACACACGUGCUACAAUGGAUGGUACAAAGGGCAGCGAAACCGUGAGGUUUAGCCAAUCCCAUAAAACCAUUCUCAGUUCGGAUUGUAGGCUGCAACUCGCCUACGUGAAGCCGGAAUCGCUAGUAAUCGCGGAUCAGCAUGCCGCGGUGAAUACGUCCCCGGGCCUUGUACACACCGCCCGUCACACCACGAGAGUUUGCAACACCCGAAGUCGGUGGGGUAACCGUAAGGAGCCAGCCGCCUAAGGUGGGGUAGAUGAUUGGGGUGAAGUCGUAGCAAGGUAGC